rnacentral:rRNA from 1 species
CCUACGGGAGGCAGCAGUGAGGAAUAUUGGUCAAUGGACGAGAGUCUGAACCAGCCAAGUAGCGUGAAGGAUGACUGCCCUAUGGGUUGUAAACUUCUUUUAUCUGGGAAUAAAAUGUUCCACGUGUGGGAUUUUGUAUGUACCAUAUGAAUAAGGAUCGGCUAACUCCGUGCCAGCAGCCGCGGUAAUACGGAGGAUCCGAGCGUUAUCCGGAUUUAUUGGGUUUAAAGGGUGCGUAGGUGGAUUGUUAAGUCAGUUGUGAAAGUUUGCGGCUCAACCGUAAAAUGGCAGUUGAAACUGGCAGUCUUGAGUACAGUAGAGGUGUGCGGAAUUCGUGGUGUAGCGGUGAAAUGCUUAGAUAUCACGAAGAACUCCGAUUGCGAAGGCAGUUCACUGGACUGCAACUGACACUGAGGCUCGAAAGUGUGGGUAUCAAACAGGAGUAGAUACCCUGGUAGUC